GAUGAACGCUGGCGGCGUGCUUAACACAUGCAAGUCGAACGGUGAAAGAGAGCUUGCUCUCUGGAUCAGUGGCGAACGGGUGAGUAACACGUGAGCAAUCUGCCCCUGACUCUGGGAUAAGCGCUGGAAACGGCGUCUAAUACCGGAUACGAGCUGCGAAGGCAUCUUCAGCAGCUGGAAAGAACUUCGGUCAGGGAUGAGCUCGCGGCCUAUCAGCUAGUUGGUGAGGUAACGGCUCACCAAGGCGUCGACGGGUAGCCGGCCUGAGAGGGUGACCGGCCACACGGGGACUGGGACACGGCCCAGACCCCUACGGGGGGGAGCGGUGGGGAAUAUUGCACAAUGGGCGAAAGCCUGAUGCAGAAACGCCGGGGGGGGGACGACGGCCUUCGGGUGGUAAACCUCUUUUGGCAGGGAAGAAGCGAAAGUGACGGUACCUGCAAAAAAAGCACCGGCUAACUACGU
rnacentral:rRNA from 1 species